GAUGAACGCUAGCGGCAAGCCUAACACAUGCAAGUCGAACGGUAACUUUUGGUGCUUGCACCGAAAGACGAGUGGCGAACGGGUGCGUAACGCGUAUGCAAUCUGCCUUUUACUAGGGUAUAGCCCAGAGAAAUUUGGAUUAAUCCCCUAUAAUAUCAUUUUUUCGCAUGAUUAAAUGAUUAAAGCUUCGGCGGUAAAAGAUGAGCAUGCGUCCUAUUAGUUUGUAGGUGAGGUAACGGCUCACCUAGACUACGAUAGGUAGGGGCCCUGAGAGGGGGACCCCCCACACUGGUACUGAGACACGGACCAGACUCCUACGGGAGGCAGCAGUGAGGAAUAUUGGACAAUGGAGGCAACUCUGAUCCAGCCAUGCCGCGUGCAGGAAGACUGCCCUAUGGGUUGUAAACUGCUUUUAUACAGGAAGAAAUACCUCUACGUGUAGAGGCUUGACGGUACUGUAAGAAUAAGGAUCGGCUAACUCCGUGCCAGCCGCCGCCGUAACAC
rnacentral:rRNA from 1 species